UUUGAAACCGGUUUUUGGUAU
rnacentral:piRNA from 1 species